AGUGAACGCUGGCGGUAGGCCUAACACAUGCAAGUCGAACGGCAGCACAGUAAGAGCUUGCUCUUACGGGUGGCGAGUGGCGGACGGGUGAGGAAUACAUCGGAAUCUACUUUUUCGUGGGGGAUAACGUAGGGAAACUUACGCUAAUACCGCAUACGACCUACGGGUGAAAGCAGGGGAUCUUCGGACCUUGCGCGAUUGAAUGAGCCGAUGUCGGAUUAGCUAGUUGGCGGGGUAAAGGCCCACCAAGGCGACGAUCCGUAGCUGGUCUGAGAGGAUGGUCAGCCACACUGGAACUGAGACACGGUCCAGACUCCUACGGGAGGCAGCAGUGGGGAAUAUUGGACAAUGGGCGCAAGCCUGAUCCAGCCAUACCGCGUGGGUGAAGAAGGCCUUCGGGUUGUAAAGCCCUUUUGUUGGGAAAGAAAAGCAGCAGGUUAAUACCCCGCUGUUCUGACGGUACCCGAAGAAUAAGCACCGGCUAACUUCGUG
rnacentral:rRNA from 1 species